UGUGUCUCCCUCGCCCUCUGCCCCUCUCCCGCUCAUACUCUGUCUCUCUCUCAAAAAUAAAUAAACAUUUGAAAAAAUCAUAAUAAAAAAAUAAAUAAAUAACAUGACUGAAACAAUGCUCCUGCUCACUGGCAACAAAGAUCGCAGAGUCGAAACUAGGUACAUUUUGAUGCAUAAUAAAUACCAAAAGCCUUAACCCAGAAAUUCUACCAGGAAUUUAGUGAAGGAAAUGCAGCAUUAUUUGUCUUAGCAAUAGUUUGGAAACCAUAUAAGUAAGUUUAAAAGGAGGGCAUGAGAUUUUUUUUUUUAACUGAUUGUCUUUCAUGUAGAAAAUAAACCAUUAAAAAUAAUGUAAAAAAUAGCAAGUGCUAUGGAAAGAUACACACACUUAUAUAUAGUAGGGUCCCAGGAGGAACUUGAAGGCACACUCAAAUUAUUUGGGAUGAAUCAAGGGGGGAUUAAUAAAGGGGCUACUUACAAAGGUGAGGGCAGGGUACCAGGGAAUCCUAAGGGGUGGGUGGUGAAGUAACCAGGGCCUAGGAACAGCAAACUAGACCUCAAGGACUUUGGGGAGGGGAGGGUGAGGACUAGAGCAAGCUCAGGGAGGUGCUUAGGAUGCAGGAUUCGAGGACACAUUCCCCCUCAGGGUCGUGCAAGAGACAGCGAGUGCCUCCUCACAUGUUUGUGCCAGAGGCACCGGCCUCACCCUAUCCUAGUCCUGGCCCUGGGGGAGGAAGCUAUUAAAGGAAUCCAGAAGGAAGAUCCUGUAGAAAAGUCUGCAAGGAGAGGAGCUGUGACCUUCAACAGGGGGCUGGAGGCAGCCCAAGGUGACCCACAGAGAGGCUGCCUGAGAAAAAUACCUGCUCUCACUUUGCUCCCAUCGUCUCAUCUUCCUGCAAGGCUUCCUUCCUCUCACCAGACCCACCUGGAAGCCAGAGGGCAAGGCUGCUUUAUAGUCGGCCUCCUCCGGGACAGACCACAGGACAGAGAAACAGUGGAUCCAAGGGGGCACAGAGACUUCCAUAGAACAACAUAAAGUUAAGCAACACGCAGGCAAGUUCCAAAGCACUAUCUAAAAUCUGAUGCCCAUUUUUACGUAAAUUUUAUUUAGUGGGAUACCUGGGGUGUAAGAUUACAUUAUGGUUGAUUUUUAGAUAGUUUUUGCUUUUAUAUGUAUUUGAUAUAUUUAAUGGAAUGAAUGUCAUAAAAAGAAAAAAAGGGAAACAUUCCAAAAACCGUAUAUAGGUUAUGGCCUUAAGAUGACGUAAAAAGCCUCAUUGAAAAAAGUCAAAAUAUUUACAGGGGUUGCUUUUGGAUUCUGAGUGUGUAAAAAGAGGCAUGGCUGUUUCUGGGGGGCAAGCAUGCGAGUUUUGUUUUUGGGUGUGCAUCCUAAUCCUUUUCUUUCUUUGAAAAUGUCCUGAAGUGAAUGUCUUGCUGUCAUAAAUCCAGAAGCUACACUCAGUAAGUAGAUCGGAGAGAGGAGAAUAGAUGGGUAGAAGACGCCAGAGGAGAGAGAAAAGAAUCUCCAUAAAUAGCCACCUGUCCUUCAUGUGAGCUGACAUCUCAAGCUCACUUAUAUUUAUCUAAUGUGUAAAAUGAUAUGAUUUCUCCAGGCCCUUUUGCUCUAAAAUUCCUUUUAAGGAAGAAACACAACGCUUUUCUAACAGACCUCAUAACCUGCGGUCAUGAGACAAGGCGGAGCAACCCGCGGCUUAGGAGAGUAGAGUACAGACACGGAGGAGGAGCUGGGAGCGCCACCUCCCUGCAGGCACGGGCAUUACAGCUGACGGCUAAGGGUCCUGUUCCUGCUCCAGGACACGCUGUUCUCGGUGUGCCUUCUUCCUGAGGCCGUACGCUGACCGCCGCUUCGUUCCCUGACCACUUAGAAUUCCUGCUGUCUUCUACAGUCUCCUGUCUUCUAAAACUACAACGCUUGCCGACAGAACUCCAGCGGAGUCCACCUUCUUGCCUUAUCUUUCCGUAAAGGUUGUUGAGAUAUGCCUCCUGGCCCACCACUUGGGACAGAUGAAACCCACCCAUGCACCAGCUUUGCCUGGGGAGUCACUUCCUCACUCUGGGGCCUCCAGCCAGCUCUGAUGGGAGUCAUGUGAUCACUUUGGUGUGCAUGACAGCUCCCCAGAGUGAUGCUUUGAGGGGUGACCUUGCUGCCCAGGACAGAACCAGCUCCUUGCGAGCUUGCUGAUGUCCAGGUUACAUAACACCUGAGGAGAACUACACUCCCCUGUCACCCACACCUUUUCCCUUUCUGUGGAGCAUUUCACAAGCGCAGCUGCUUCUCAGAGAAGGUCUAUUUUGGGAGCUGUUUUCAUUUGACCUAUAUUAAGCACAGUCACAAGGCAGAGGCAAGUUGCGGGGUGCAGGGUGGCCUGCUUGCUCUUUGUGCUUUUUUAGUGUUACGGGUGAGAAAACCAGACAAGCUGGUGCCCACAGCUCUGGAGCUGAGACUCAAGUGGCCCAAGGAUCUCACCACGGCAUCAAGCUACAGAAAACUCUAGGCUCAGAGAGUCCACCUGUAAUAGUGCAGCCCCAUGGGGCUGCGUCCCCAGUUCACAGCUCUGAUUUGCGUCCCCCUGAGGCCCUGCUAAAAGAUAAUACCUUAGUCACUGCAACAGUGGGCAGGGAAAAAUUUAGGCUCCCUGCAGGCCCAGAAUCUACCAGGCCAGGAAGAGUCCUGGCCUGUGAAGCGCACCCGGUAGAGUUGUAAUUGGUCAUCAAGCCCCUCCAUAGGGAAUUGAUACUAAUUGAAUCACAUGACCAGCAGGGGGAGAGAAAGGGCUGCAGGGAGCCAUCUGGCCCGGGCACUGUGCACAAAUAGGUACCGCUUGGCGUCCCCUGCACUUUGAGGGCCUGUGGAGAAAAUGACAACAGAAGUGAUUAACUCGCUAAGUGCCCCAUUUGCCCCUCUUCAAUGGGGGUAUCUCCUGCACCACCGUUUUCCCCCUUGCACCUCUUUUUGUCUUCCUAGAAGCAGAGGCCCAGUUCCACGGUCUAAAGCUCUGACCACGCUGCCGGAUCCCCAAACCUGCCUGUCUGGCACCUCCUCUCUCCUGAGGGUCCGGCCCAUAUCUGCAAACAGUUGUCCCACUGAUGCAUCACAUUCAGAAACGCAAAGCAGAACUGCCCGCCUCCUCCACACUCACGUCAGCCCCCACCCCAGGGAGCUGCUGUCCGCCUGGUCUCCCACGUGCCCCACACGUGUCUGCCUUUGACAGGCAGAAUGGACACCGACGGGGACUUCCCUAGCCAGCUGGCGAGAUGCUGGUGUUGCAUCCCCUCAGGACUGCGGGGAAAGAAUCCUGGCUUUGUACUGUGCAGCCGGGCCUGUGCCCACACCCCUUGCAAUCCAGUCAGCCAAUGGCUCCCCUCAGGAUGCUGAGUGGUCGUGCACGCCUGCCUGAGUGAUCAGAAAUGUUCCAGUGAAGAAAUAAAGGCUCCUUUUGCACCGACAACAUGCUACUCAAAGGCAGGAAAAUGACUUUUACCCCAUAAUUCCGGCACUCAAGAUUAACACUUGUUGAAAGAACAAAUUUGCAAAGAAAGAAGCUCCUUGACAGUUAUGCGUUAACUCCAGAAGAACUGGUUAAUUCCAUCAUGGCGUAUCCAUUGGUGAUAAUAUUAGGCAAUUGUUAAAAAGGUAUGGAUUAAAAAAAAAAAAGCUGUAAAAUAUAUUUGGAGACAAUUCAGCAACUAUGACUACCAACUGGGUAGUACAUGAUAUGAAAGAAUUUUUGUUAAUUUACUUCAAGGUGAUGAUGGUUUUGUGGUUAUUUAUGUAGGAGAAUGCAUGUUAAAGUAUUUCAGAGUAAGUGUCAUAAUGUCUAUGUAGGAGCCAAGGACAGCUACCCUAAGAUGGGCCACUUUAGCAUGAAGAUGAUUUUGAGUUAAAAGCAAUCAAAACCAGGGGCACCUAGGUGGCUCAGUCGGUUAGGCAUCCAACUGUGGCUCAGGUCAUGAUCUCACAGUUUGUGAGUUCGAGC